CCGGGGCCUUCCUAGUCACGGGUGGCCGGUGGCCCCCGCCGUUCGGCGAUCCUCUGCCGUGGGCUGCGAGGAGGCCUCAGCGGGCGACCGGGGUCUGCCGCCUCAGCCGCCCCCCGGCCUGGCCCCGCCAACGUGUGGCUGCUGGCCGAGCCGCUGGCUGCGGGCUUGGUCCGUGUGUGAAUCUCUGCCCCUCCUUCCACCCCGGCCUCAGCGGCGCGCUGCUGAGUUUGCUCCUGUGCUAGCGCAGGUGCUGCGGUGGGGAGGACUCUGGCUGAAAAACAGGCGGGCAGUUAAACGAAAACGAGCGAAAAAUAAUCCUGGGUAAUUUUCCCGAAACAAUUCACAUAAUAGCACGAAUUACUGUGUUGGCACCGUGUGAAGGGUGGAGGGAGAGCAAAAAGCGUGGAAAAAAUCUCUGCCGUUUAAAUGCAUGCGACACAUGUGCAGCGAUGUUUUUCAACAGUGCGUUUGUGUGGGAAGUCUCAGAAACACGUGUGUGCCCAUGCAGCUGCUGGUGCUGCUCUGGUAACGCGGCUUGGCACUGGUCUUUGCUCAGCUUUUGUUUGCAUUAGGUCAGCUUUGGUUUAGCACCACACUGAAAUAAUCAUAUGAAAUAAUAGUUUUGGUACUCCUGUUUCAAAGAACGUGUUACCGAGCUGUAGACCACAGAGGAGAGAACUCUAUCUGCAAAAUCCAGUAUAUGCCAUGGGAAUUUAAAUUGGCUAUUUCUUUUUCUGGAAGAUAUCCAUAGUUGAUCUAACUAUGUUUUCAAUACCUUUCAGUGUAAUAACAGAAUCUUAGAGGAUUAAUUUAUCUAGAAAAGACAGGAACAAGAGAAUCUAGUGGUUAAUGACAGGUUAAUAACUAACCAUAAUGAUCAAAAGUGACUGAUUAACAGUUGAUAUAAACAGCUUCAAAUAGUAUGGAUUCUGUUCUUCUAGAGGUCUUCCGAUUAAAUCUUUGUGAUUUUACAGGAGUGCUUUAAAUCAAAAUAAAUUACUGAGUUUUGUAAGAGUAAAUGUAUAACUGGCCAGUUAUUUAUAUGUUAAGAAGGUCAUUGUAGAAGUAGUGGCACACAAAUGCAUCAACUAACAGGAAACUUCAAGGUGGGAGAAGUACUUUCAAGGGAGAUGUUUAAAUCAAGAUUUAUAUCUUUUUAAAGCUUUAAAGUUUUGUGUAUAUGUUAUGUUAUAAAAAUACACACACAAAAACUUCAAGAUGGGAGAAGUACUUACAGGGGAGAUGUUUGAAUUAAGAUUUAUAUCCUUUCAAAGCUUUAAAGUUUUGUGUAUAUGUUACGUUAUAAAAAUACUCGCACUGUAGGGGAAGAAAAAACUUUGAUUUUAUUUUAUAAUAAUGUUUGAAUGGGAGUAUCUACCAUCAGAGUGUGUUUCUGGUAUGUCAGAAUACAAACGAUAGAUCUAUUUUAGCUUCAUCAUGGACUUUCUUCUUCCCAGCUCCCAAAGUCAAUAACUUGGAAGGUUGUUCGUGUUCUGCACUGUGAAAGCUGAGUCCCGAGAGUGUUUAAAGGAAAAUACUUGCAGUCAACAUGGAAGGCAUCUUCCUGUGGACUUGCUUUGGAAGAGGAGAGAAUUGUCUGUAGGUUAUAUUUAUGAUGGUCAAAGGAAUGGAAGACAUCAAACAGCAAUUUGUUGAGCACAGAAAUUGAAGUGCCAGGGAUUGUCUGUUACAUCUCAUUCCCUUUGCCCUUCUGAAAGAAACCAUGUGUAUGAAGAAUAAAAAAAAGAGCUUAUGAUGUAAUCAAGCCUCCAGCUUUUGUGGAUAUUAGUUUUUAAUAACAUGGGCACAACAGUGUUAUGCAUAAAGAAUAAAAGGACAAAAUAAACUUUAAAAAAGUUGUUAUCAUCGAACUUAAGCUUUUAUCGCAAAAGGACAAUCAGAAUAUUUUUAAAUGUUCAAGAUACUAAACUGAAGGGGGAAUUAAUUAGGCAGGAAUGAUUUCAUCUUAAUACAACCAGUAUUAUGAAAAAUCAAAUGGAGAAGUAACCUGAAUUCUUUAAUUAAAUUGCAUAUAGAUUGAAGCCAUGCAGACAGUAGUAGCACUAGACUGAUAAAGAGUAAUUAAAGACUAUGUGGGUUCAGGAGUUUCCUUUUUUGCACCAGAAUUUGUUGGUGCAUCACUAAGGUUGUGUAUAAACACAAUUGUGUAUGAUUUUUUGUAGUUUUCUUUAUUGUUUGCAUGCCUUGUCUCUUUCCUGGGAAGUUACAAAGAGGCUAAAUAGCCUCCGCUUCUCAUACGGCUGCUUUUCCACUUUUCCUUCUCUAGUUUGAUUAGUCAUUUUACUAUAAUGUUGUUUAGUCCCUCUGGCAUGAUCAUGUCACAGAAUCACAGAAUGGCCAGGGUAGGAAAGGACCUAUAAAGAUCAUCUAGUCCAACCCCCUGCUAAAGGAGAUUCACCUGUAUUAGGUUGCACAGAAUCGCAUGGAGGCGUGUUUUGGAUAUCUCCAGCGAAGGAGACUCCACGAACAUCUCUGGGCAGCCUGUUCCAGUGCUCUGUCAUCCUCAAGGCAAAAAAGUUCUUCCUCAUACCCAGAAGGAACUUUUUGUGUUGCAGUUUGUGCCUGUUCUGUUGUCCCUUAUCCCGUGGCUGGGCGCUACUGAAAAGAACCUGGCGCCAUCCUCUUGACACUCCUAAGGUAUUUGUAGAUGUUGGUAAGAUCCCCUCUCAGUCUUCUCUUCUCCAGGCUAAAUAACCCUGGAUCCUGUUUGAUCACAGUUCCGAAGAUAUUCAUCCUGCACCUCCUCCUGUCACCUUGGGAUCCUCAUGUCUGUACUGAGGACAGAAGAUGAUCAAACCCUAAACAAAAAAACAUGAUCUUGAGGUUUGUGUUCACCACAUGUUCCCACAGCUGUUUGCUAGCUACAUCUCUCUGUUCCGUUGCCCAUGCUGACAUUUGGAACACUGUAAAUCUGGAACCAUGUCCUGACUCCUGCUGUGGUUUUUCUGUUGCCACAAGACACCAGCUAUAUUGAUUCAGACCACGUUUCUCUAGUCCAGUCUCUUGUCUAUGACAAUGAUCAAUAACAAAUUCUGGGGAAGAAAUUAGGGGAAAGCAUAUACCAAGACCUGUUGGCAUACACUAAAAUGCCCUGCAGAGCAUUCUCCCAGCCAUCACUGAUUGUGGUGAAGGACUUUCUGCAUCCACAUAAACUAGUACAAUUAACUUUUCUUUCCAUGAGCACAUGCUGACAGUCUUGAAUCUGUAUAAAUGUUUAAAAAGGACAGUGGCUUGUGGUUCCAUAGCUUAACCUGGCUUUAUAUGAACAAAUUACAUUACCCUUCAUUAUGUGAAGAAGUACAUUGUUUUGUGUAUUUUAAAGGUGCAUUCUCUGCUCGUCGCUUUCAGCACUCCAGUAGUUCUGUUAUUUUUAAACAAGAACAUUAGGCAUCUGACUUGCAGGUUGAACUGUUUCAAGUGCUAUCUUGCUUCCAAUAGCUGUAUUUUAUAUGUACAUUUACUGUCCAUCUUUAUUCUCUCUCAUUCCUUGUUUUGGGCUUGGGGAUUAUUUCACUGGAGAGGAACUCUGGUUCCUAUGAUAUACUCUGCUCCUUUUAUUAUCUGCAUGACAAAUGCUAGGGUGUGAGGGUGCUGCACAAGUACUGUAAAAAAAACAACAAACGUCCCCCACUUUACGUAGCUGUAGAACAAACACUUGGCAGUGCUAAUGUGGCUGCACACAAUAUACUGAAGAGCUGCGGUUACUGCUUAAGUAGCCUCUCUAUAUUUUAAAGAGGCAUGGCACCUGUGUUCAAAUACUGAUGACGGUAUGUGAUGCUGUCUGGAAAAUUACAGAUACACUGUGUGCAGGAAAAUACUGUAACUGGGUGCAUUAUUUCCUGUACUGAAAAGUGGAUUAUUAGUAUGUAGAUUCAACUUGAAUAAAUCUCAGUAGAUUACUGGGCAAGAUUAAGGCAAGAGAGCUGCAGAGCAGUUCUGACGCUGUGAAGAACAAACAGGGCAAAAUGCUUCCGGUAUGAGGAACAAGUGUAGUGUUAUAGCUGCCUAAUGUUUUUAUUUUUUUCCAUACUGGUAACCAAGUAAGGAAGAAGAUAAUUUAACUUAUUGCACGGAACUGUAACUCACAUGUUGUACCUAAGACACUAUGAUUCCAUUUUGUUUGGUUACAGCACUUCUGCAUUCAAGCCAAGGUCUGAAGAAUUUUUCAGCUUCAGAUGAGAAUUCAGUGUCUCCAGUGUGAUGUGUUCGCCAGGAAUCGCUAUCCACUACAGUGGAUAGUAGCAUGUAAUAUUGAAUAAUGUUUGAAAUAUUGAUGCUGUUUCGUUUAAUUUCUAAUAAUACUUAGAGACUUACUAAAGCAGCGGGUUUUUUUGUUUGUUGGUUGGUUGUUUUUUUAAAGUGUAUAGAACUACUUUCAUUGAAAGUUCUUGAAAAGAUUCUGUGGCUUUAGGGUAGACAGUGUUUCUUAACCAUUUCCAGAGUAAAGGAAUGCUAAAGAAAAGCAUCAAAACAGUAAAAGAUGAGUGUCAGUGAUAGAAAUAAAGAACCAAACUGCUUGACAAAAUGGAAGUUCACAUAAGCAAGAUAAAAGGAAUUAGAAAGCUCAUUAGAACCUGUCUGAAUAAUCACUACAUACAUAUCUUAAGGACACAAUGAAAUUACAGGGGAAUUAAGAGACUGGCAUGUAGAUAUGGCUUUAAGCAAGUGUGUAAAACAAAGGAAUGGGGAAUUAAGGAAAUUUUUAUUUUAGACAUCACUGUCGUGCCUCUGAGUUGAUUACCUAUUUUUUAGCAUCUCAUUCUUCGUAACAGUUUGUUUUUAUUACCAAUUUCUUUCCUUUAAUACUCGUAUGGUAAUUUUUUUCCAUCAGAAGGGUGAAAAUUCUGGGAUGCAGGCUGUGAUCCCUUAGUGGGUUGCUAGGAGUAGUUGGGAAAGGCAGUAGGCAAGGGGUAAAAAAUGUUGGAAGAUUGGAGGCUGCAACUGGAUAAAGAUAGCUAACCAAGAAGAGGGUUCCACUGGGGAUGGAACAGACCUUUUUGGUGAACCAUCUUCUUGGUGACACAAUUGACCUCUUCAAGGUGACACAAAUUGCCUUAGCUCUAUGGCUUGAACAGAGCCUUGAAAUUCUGACUCACUAUAUCUCUCUUAGGAAAUUUUUUGUAAAACAUACUGGUAAAGGAUGUUUUCAGUCAAUCCUAAUCAUUACUCACAUAUAUAAAUCCCUCUAUAUCGUAACACAGAACUUAAAUUAUGUGAAUGUUUUUCUUGUAGUCAGUCUUUUAUGCACAGAAUGGUUGUGUACUUGGUGUAAAUGAAUGAAAGUUCUCUCCAGCUGGUUGUUAGAAGAAAAAUGGCAACUAAGUAGUAAGUAAAGUUCAGAUGGUUCAUUUUUGUUGUGCACAGUUGAAUUCAAUCUCUGGCAAAGUGUUUCUGCAAGAUACAAAUCAAGUUAAUAAACCCAAACUUUCCAGACAGUUACAAAACCUCACUGAAUUUGAAGUAGCAUUACUCUAGGUAUACACUCAGGUAAACCUGUCUUCAGUGUCACUCGAGGUGAUACACCACGUCACUGUUUCUCUUUCUUCUCACUGGUCAUUUGUGACUACUCGUAAAGUUCAUUCUGUCCUUUCUCUUAUUUUACCUCUCAUCAUACUCUUACUUCUUUUUUAUAAUACCACAUAUAGGUGCUCAGACUGCACUGUUCAAAACAGGUAUUUCAACUGCAGUUCUAAGAGUGGGUACUUACAUUAAAUGUUUUCUUAUACAAGUACUAUGAAGUUGGUGGUAGAAUUUCUUCUUUUUUAAAAUUCUAUUUAGUAGAGGAUUUGAACAUUUAAUAUAACCUUGAAUAGAAAUCUUGCUGCUCAUAGCAAUUUAGUAAAUUCUUUUUUUGUUUCCAUUUUAAAAAUUAAAAUUGUCAUGUUUUCUGUGACAAGAAUU